GUUUCGAGCCCCUGUCUGGACACGUCUCGUCCGUCUGAAUGAUCUCGGAGCCCCAGUUCGGUCAGGUCAACAAGCCUUACCCGAGGGGUUUCCAAGUGGCCGGCAGUGAGCCCUGGCACGGACUCCCAGGAGACUGCUGCGUGUGUUUUAUUGGCAAGAACCGUAGGACCCAGCCAUCCCCAGCUGCCUGCACGGCCGCCCUGAACAAAACCAGGAUUCUGGUGGCGAGGAAGAGAGGGCAAAGGAUCACGGGAACCGGAAGUGUGUGCUACGGCGGGCGCCUGUCCCCGCUGCACUCGGAGUAUCCAAAUGGGGCUGGUAAUUCAUGCCCCAGAUGUGUGACGUAUUAUUCUCAAUUUUCUUUUGGUUCUGCAGUUCUGUAAGCCCUAGUCUCUCCAGCUGCUAUUUUUUAAAUGUGUUGAGAGAGAGAGAGAGAGAGAGAGAGAGAGAGAGAGAGAGAGAGAGAGAGAGAGAGAAGAGAGAGAGAGAGAGAGAGAGAGAGAAUCCCAAGCAGGCUCUGCACUGUCAGCACAGAGUCCAAUGCGGGGUUUGACCCCACGCGCUGUGAGAUCACGACCUGAGCCAAAAUCAAGAGGAGGAUGCUUAACUGACUGAGCCACCCAGGUGCCCCUCCAACAGCUAUUUUCUUGAGCACCUCCUGGGUGUCAGGGAUGCAGACUGAACAAAACAGGUGGGGCCUGCUGUCACAGAGCAGGGGAAGGACCCCGAAGGAGACCAACAAAGACGCGAUCAUAGCGACAAGGGGGGCUUGAUGGACUCACUUACAGCUGUCAGAGACCACCCCCUUCUGUUUUCCGAGCCUCAGCUGGCCCAUCUCUAAAAUGGGGAAGGUGCUAUCGAUCAAACGUCUGGGCGCCCCCGCAGCUCCAAAUUCAUACGUUGAAACUUAACCCCCAAUUAGGGGUUAGUGGUGGCAAAGGCCCUUGGGAGGUGAUUCGGUCAUGAGGUGGAGCCUCGUGGGUGGAAUCAGGGCUCUUGUAUAUCAAGGGGACCCCAAGAGCACCCCGGUCCCUUCUGCCACGUGAGGACACAGCGGGAAAACGUCUGUCUAUGAAGCAGGAAGUGAGUCCUGACCAGACAUCAAAUCUGCCAGCACCUUGAUCUUGGACUCCCCAGCCUCCAGAGCCGUGAGGGAUACAAUGCCCAGCCCGUGGUAUCUUGUUAGGGAGGCCUGAGCUGACUCAGACAGGAACGGUAGGUGAUUUCUAAGAACCUCUGCCGCCCUAAACGCUGACACGCUAAGCCAGACAAUUUCCCCCUCAAGAUGGAGACGGAUGGAAGAGAACCAAAUUUUCUUUCUCUCCUAC
rnacentral:lncRNA from 1 species